rnacentral:rRNA from 1 species
UGUUUCGGCUAGGGGGCCAUCCCGGCUUACCAACCCGAUGCAAACUGCGAAUACCGGAGAAUGUUAUCACGGGAGACACACGGCGGGUGCUAACGUCCGUCGUGAAGAGGGAAACAACCCAGACCGCCAGCUAAGGUCCCAAAGUCAUGGUUAAGUGGGAAACGAUGUGGGAAGGCCCAGACAGCCAGGAUGUUGGCUUAGAAGCAGCCAUCAUUUAAAGAAAGCGUAAUAGCUCACUGGUCGAGUCGGCCUGCGCGGAAGAUGUAACGGGGCUAAACCAUGCACCGAAGCUGCGGCAGCGACACUGUGUGUUGUUGGGUAGGGGAGCGUUCUGUAAGCCUGUGAAGGUGGCCUGUGAGGGUUGCUGGAGGUAUCAGAAGUGCGAAUGCUGACAUAAGUAACGAUAAAGCGGGUGAAAAGCCCGCUCGCCGGAAGACCAAGGGUUCCUGUCCAACGUUAAUCGGGGCAGGGUGAGUCGACCCCUAAGGCGAGGCCGAAAGGCGUAGUCGAUGGGAAACAGGUUAAUAUUCCUGUACUUGGUGUUACUGCGAAGGGGGGACGGAGAAGGCUAUGUUGGCCGGGCGACGGUUGUCCCGGUUUAAGCGUGUAGGCUGGUUUUCCAGGCAAAUCCGGAAAAUCAAGGCUGAGGCGUGAUGACGAGGCACUACGGUGCUGAAGCAACAAAUGCCCUGCUUCCAGGA